GGCCCCGUGUGGAGGGGCUGCCUUCAGCGGAGCGGACUUUUCGACGCCGACGCCGAACUUGAGUAACCUGUGGAGCUGAGGGAACCCGGCCCCGGUGCGAGCGCUGAGCGAGGGGCGCUGAGCGGGAGAGCCCGCGCUGAUUGCUGUGUGCUGGUGCCUGAAGCCCUCAGAAACCCACAGAGGUGGGCUGGAGCCCUGCUCCCCGUAACAGCGCUGCCAAGAGCAUCCCACCUACGUGCAGCCUUUAGGAGCAGCUGGGUGCGUUGAAAGACCAUCUUCAAGGUGUCUUGAAAACUAAUAGUGCAUGAGUCUACAUUAUGUCAUCAGUCUGGUAGGAUGGGGUGGAGACAUGACAGCCUUGGAAUGUUUCUUAGAGCCUGGAUUUGCCAAGAGUGCCUGCUGCGCAGAGCCCACUCCCAUCGCGUGCUGAAGUGACCAGAUGAGCUAACACAGAACUUGGGCCUUUCUUCCUCUAUCGUUUACACAAACAUACUCACUUCUGUUCCAACUCCUCACAACUUCAGCUAUGCAAUCUUUGAAACAGAAAGUACAACAAGGAAGAUCCUAAGCACAAAAAAAAUCCUUGGCUUUCCUGCCCCUGAGGGAGAGGAACAUCACAGGAAAGAAUGCAUCAGGAGUGGACGACUAGUGAAUGAGGCUCUGCUUGGAUCCCAUCUGGAAAUGGCUAUCUGUAUUAUAUGGAGCUUGAAAUGUAUCGUGUGCAAGUAGGGUUCUAAAAGCCUCAUUUGGAACCCAAAUCUGAAAGCAUCCUGGUGGGUUUUUUUGUUCUGUUUUUUGUUUUUUGGUGGUUUUUUUGUUUGUUUGUUUGUUUUUUAAUGCUGAAUGUUUCUAAGUUGGUUGUUUUAACUGGAACUGCAAGAACCCGAGACUUCCAACUGCAUGCAAACCUGCCCUAACCUGACACCUUUUAUGAGCUUAAAAAAAAAUAUCAGAGGAAUGUAGGCUUCUACCAGAGCCUGCCACCAAAGCGUGGAAACAUCCUGCCAACAUGUUUACUCACUGCUGUAAUGAACACAUGCAAGAUUAGAAAGUUUGUUUAGGUAUUACUGGAAACCUUUUUCCAUCACAAUCCUUUCAGCUGUUUCACAAGGACUGAGCAGGAAAUUCGGCCUUUAGGCUCAUGCAUAAGGUACGUGUAGUGGUGAGAGAAGACUUAGCAGUGCCAAGCUGAAACCCAGGGAGCUGCCUAGUGAGUGCACUGUGGGUCACUAGCAGACUAAGGUACAGGAACUUGCAAUGACAUGAACAACAGAGGGAAUUAAGAGUCACAGCCUAAAUUGGCUCUUUUGUCAGUGUCAUGUAAUGUGCUUGGGAUAGUUUGCCUACGUAUGGCACAAUUGCAAUAUAAUUGCAAACAUCAAGAAAUGAGUAUGUAGACUUAGGUGGGUUGGGAUGGCUGUAACAUAAAUCUGAGGCAGGGAAGGAGCUGCAGCCCAGCGAUGCAGAGAGUCAAUUUCUCUGCUCUAUAAAACACAUCCUGUGAUUUCCUAUUCGUGUAUUGCUUCUUAGUGUAGUCAAGCACAAACUAUUUAAGGCAGGGAUUCACUGUGCGUGCAAUUGUAUGUUAUGUAAUAAUGAUGAUGUGUCUAAUUGCUAUUGUAAAAAAAAAGUAUAAUAAUAAUAAUGGCUAUGAUUUCUGCCUUCCAAAGUAGUGCGUAUUUUCUUUGUAGUAAUCAGGGACUUGUUGCUAGGCAGUUAAUAUUUAAGGUACCUUAAAUAUUUUAAUGCAUCUAUGCCUGCUGUUUCUAGGCACCAAUAUUUGUUUAUGUUAUCGUUAUACAACCCUUUCUACCUUAUAUCCUUUGUUCAGUCUAAUCUAGUGGAUCCACACAAUGAAAUUUCAAUCACACUUUUUUUUUUUCACAGAUAGAGAUUUACUUUACUGUUGAGAAUGAUAAAAUUCCUCUGACGCAGAUUUGUUCUUUGUCAGGAUGUUUUGCAUUAAUACCAUUUACUCUUUCUUUGCACAGUCCUCCUCCCAGGUGAGUUCUGUCUUUGUGAUGGCUUGUUGUGCAGGCAUGUAGUAAUUUUAAAGGUUUGAAUUUAAUGGUUGAGAAUCAAGAUUCAAGAUCACCUUUAAUUGUAGUAAACUAGGAGUUGAAAUACAGACUUUUUUUGACCAAGCUCUAAAUUUUUAAGAAAAGUCUUCACUUGUAAUCUCUGAUAAGACAAUGGGCCAAGAGAAACAGAAAGAUUUUAUGGUAGCUGGAAGGCAAUCGAAGAGGGCGGUGGUGAGGUAUAAGAUCUCAUCAGAAAUUACAACUUUGAGGGAAGAUUCUGGGGAAACAAGUAAGCACUAACGACUGAAAUACAUAACUAGGGGAAUGUGCUGCCACUACCUCAAUCCUUCGGAAGAAUCAUAGAAUCACAAGGUUGGAAAGGACCUACAAGAUCAUCUAGUCCAACCAUCCUCCCAUUACCAUUGCUACCACAAGCUACUAAACCAUAUCCUGUAGCUCCUCAUCCAGACAGAAGUAAGAAUGUCAAAUCUUUUUGGCAGCUCUGCAUCAUUGCUUUAAAUUUUCCUUGGUUUCAUCUCAAUUUUAUUCAAAUAAAAUAGAAAAAUUCCUGCUGGGUAAAGUGUUCUUACAUACAAAACUUAAGCUGCAAGCUGUGCAUUUGGAGAGCCGUGCAACACCGUUGUCUCUUUGUAUUCUUUGCCUCAGAUCUAUAUGGGCUGCAGAAAAUAUCCAUUAUCUGCUUGCCAACCCUAUGGGGAAUACACCAAAAGAAUUAUUCCAAACCUUGCUCAUUUCUGCAAAGGAGCUGAGCUUUCCUGAAAAUAGAAAUGAAUGAGAACUCAAAGUUCACCAGAUGAUGAGAGGCAAUAAAGCAGGGCCUAAAGUAAUUCAUGUGAUGAUUUUGCAGACAAGUCUGUUCAUUACCAGGUAUCACAGAAAGUUCCACACCACUUUGUUGCUAAAUUCAGCAUAUUUGUCCCGUUGUUCUAAAACUAAGAUACCCCCCCCACACACACUCCUUUAUUUGUAAUGGAUUUAAAAUUUGUGAAUGCAGCUGAACAGCCCUGCAGACAGAUCCUCUAUGCACUGAGGUGUGUAAUUAAAGUAAUAGCACAUCAAAGUUCAUUACAUUCUCUUGUCAGCUUACCUCAUUUCCUAAAAAAAGUACCAUUUCUCCUUGGGAGAAACUACUUAUUUUCACGUCUCUACAAUGUGAAGGGUUUUUUUUUUUUGCUGAGACUUUUAAUGAUGUCAUCAAUUAGUGCAAAUUCUAACAGUGAUUUCCAAGUUUGCUGUGGAACACACAUUGCAGAUACUGUACAGACCUCGUACAGAUGUCUGAUGUAAAGAACUGCUGAUGAAGACCUCCGUAUUCCAUGUUUAAUUCUGAGAAGUGAAGGAUGUUUUUGCAGACAAGUGCCCUUUGGCAUUCUUUUCAGUGAUAUGCAUGGCAAGUGCACUUUUUUUUUUUUUUUUGGUAAACUGAAGUUUAAUAGGAAAUUUUCUACUUCUGGUUGGCUGCUGCAGGGAUGCUGAAGGCUGAACCUCUUCCUUUUUUUUGAGCAGACUCUCAACUUCCAGUGGAAGCAGUGGAAACUCUAGUGGGUAAUAACUGAAAUACCCUCUAAUUUCUAUCCUUUUUUAAAAAGUUGCCUGUUUAUAAAUUCUGGAAGCAUAUUUGACAGAGAGUUGGUACAUGUUCCUCCACUUUGUAACCAGGUUCCUGCCCAUCUUAAAAUAACUCUUGCUUUGGAAUCCACUGGCUGACAUACAUUUGUAUCUAGUAUUACAAAGGGCAGACAGACCAUUACACAGAGCUUCACGGAACUGCAGGCUGAUGCCACCCACAAUACUAUGAAUGUGGAUUUUGUACAGAGCUAGGAAAUCCAGAUCAUCCAGUAUGCAAGGAUCAUUCUUUGUGCAGCAAGGCUAAUGUGUCUUAGUGUCACCCAGUUAUCUUUAAGCAAAUUAUUUGUUUUGAGUAAAAUAAACAGACAAGUUUGUUUGGAUCUCUCACACCAUUUUGAGAUGCUUCUCAUAAAAGGUGGAAGUGCCAAUAAAAUCAUUUUAUUGAUGCUAAAAUUAUUCUAUUCAAACUUCAUUAAUGACAGUAUUAUGUGACUGAAGAAACAUUUGGAUUUUAAAUGUAAUGUUUUUGUUAAACAGAGGAAAUCAUAUUUUUAAGAAUGAGCCCAGUGCUUCUAUAUGUAUUCUACAGCCUGCACGACUGAGCUCAGAUUAGCUUUUUCUAAAAGAAAAAUCUUUUCACCCAAGUGGGCCAAAUUGCUAUUGACCAAUACUACUUUUUGUAACAGACCCAAAUAUUGAUCCAGUAUUCAAUAUUUACAGCCAAUAAUUUGAAAUUUAGUUUCAUUAGGUAGCUGCAUUUUGUUACUUGGACAAAAAAAAAAAAAAAAAAAAGAGGACCAAAAAGCACAGAAGUCACAUCUUAGACUGACCUUUGUCCAAUUCAGUAGAUACAUUCCAGCUACCAGAAGCUUUUUAUUAUUUCAACUAUAAUUUUUAAAAGAACAUCCUGACCCCAACACAAUAUCCUCGUUAAGGAUACUGAGCCAGCCUUCAUAGGCUGGUUUGCAUUGCUGCUAGAGCACGGGGGAAUGACCUGCCUCUAUAAACUGUGCUGUGUUGUCUCCCCACCACGUGGGUUAGUGUUUUGCUUGUACUCUUUUCCUUCCUCAACUCGUCUGCAAACAGAGCUGACCUAACCUGAAGUUGGAAGUAAAACACAUCACAGAUAAGGGACUUGCACCUCCCGCCAAAGGAAAGGAAUUUGACACCAAAGAGUGCCAUAUUUCUGCUCUUGAGGGCUUCUUCCUCCAGGUAUGCUAUGAUUUGGCCAUGUGUAAAUAGUCAAAAUGCUAUUUUUAUAGGAAACACAAUGCCUUCUGCUGUGAUAGUUUAAAUAUAGAAAACAGACCACUGCUGGCAUUUGAAGUAUCACUGGACAAGAUAAUGCAAUCAGAAAAUAGCCUAAGCUUUUAUCGUGAUUCUGUGUACAGGUUUCUCAAAUCCUUCUCGCUACUUUUAAACGAGCUGAAGCAGUGUCUUUCACUGGCUACUGGAUUAUUUGCAUACUGAAUAAAUUAGAUGAUUGACAUUGACUCAAAGUGAGUAAUAGGCAGCUUCAUUUUUUUGUAUUGAAAACCUUUGGGUUAUUUUCAUUUCUGAAAUGGCUAUCACAAAUGCAGUAUGUGUAUUUGAAAACUAUGUUUCACAGCACACUUUUUUGCCACACUUGAAAUGCAAUGUCAUGCAGUGUAACUCAGUCAUUAGCAUUAAAACCUUAAUUGCUCUCUGCCUAGGUUUCAAAGCCAAGUUUCCACACCUAGUCACUCAGGGCAACUCAUAAACCAGGUCGUACCCUAGUGCAGAAAUGCAAAUUUACAAAGGAUUCUUUUCCUCUCUGCUAGCUAACCACAUCAUUGGCACCAAUGCAAGGAUGCAAGCAAGCUCUGCAAAGACAAAGAGCGGGUCAGAAACUUACAGGGAGCAGGUGGGAGUCCUCACUUUACCCGUUUCCUCUCUAUUCCCUCAUCCCAGCCUGUAUGCAAAAUGUGCACACUGAUGUGUCAAGACAGACAUGCUGGACUGCCUGUAGUUUACUCUUGAGCAACGGAGGAAACAAAGAAAGGCUAUGACUCAGAGCAACAGUCUUCCAACUAGGCGGCUCCAGGGCAGCCAGAUGCACUUUCCCUUAUUAGGACAGAUCAUGAAACCUUUCUUCAUCUUGAAUGGUACCUAAUUCUGCAGUAGUAUUGCUGACUUUAAGAAUCAUCUUUUAAAGAACUGCCAGCAGAAAGUAGCUGUAGUUCUACCUUUGCUUCUUUAAAAAAGUGUUAAU